rnacentral:rRNA from 1 species
GACGAACGCUGGCGGCGUGCUUAACACAUGCAAGUCGAACGGAAAGGCCCUGCUUUUGUGGGGUGCUCGAGUGGCGAACGGGUGAGUAACACGUGAGUAACCUGCCCUUGACUUUGGGAUAACUUCAGGAAACUGGGUCUAAUACCGGAUAGGAGCUCCUGCUGCAUGGUGGGGGUUGGAAAGUUUCGGCGGUUGGGGAUGGACUCGCGGCUUAUCAGCUUGUUGGUGGGGUAGUGGCUUACCAAGGCUUUGACGGGUAGCCGGCCUGAGAGGGUGACCGGUCACAUUGGGACUGAGAUACGGCCCAGACUCCUACGGGAGGCAGCAGUGGGGAAUAUUGCACAAUGGGCGGAAGCCUGAUGCAGCAACGCCGCGUGCGGGAUGACGGCCUUCGGGUUGUAAACCGCUUUCGCCUGUGACGAAGCGUGAGUGACGGUAAUGGGUAAAGAAGCACCGGCUAACUACGUG